AGGUGUCGCUAGGGGUGCUGUAAAGCUGAGAUGAUACCCUCAAACUUGUGAGUUAAUCCUCGCGUAAGGAAGCAAAAACAACGAAAG
rnacentral:ncRNA from 1 species